rnacentral:rRNA from 1 species
GAACUAGAUAACUAGAGUGCAGGAGAGGUAAGUGGAAUUCCUAGUGUAGCGGUAAAAUGCGUAGAUNUUAGGAGGAACACCNGUGGCGAAGGCGACUUACUGGACUGAAACUGACGCUGAGUCACGAAAGCGUGGGGAGCAAACAGGAUUAGAUACCCUGGUAGUCCACGCUGUAAACGAUGAGUGCUAGGUGUUGGGUAGAGAUAUUCGGUGCCNNANCAAACGCAAUAAGCACUCCACCUGGGGAGUACNAUCGCAA